GACGAACGCUGUCGGCGUGCUUAACACAUGCAAGUCGAACGGAAAGGCCCUGCUUUUGUGGGGUGCUCGAGUGGCGAACGGGUGAGUAACACGUGAGUAACCUGCCCUUGACUUUGGGAUAACUUCAGGAAACUGGGGCUAAUACCGGAUAGGAGCUCCUGCUGCAUGGUGGGGGUUGGAAAGUUUCGGCGGUUGGGGAUGGACUCGCGGCUUAUCAGCUUGUUGGUGGGGUAGUGGCUUACCAAGGCUUUGACGGGUAGCCGGCCUGAGAGGGUGACCGGCCACAUUGGGACUGAGAUACGGCCCAGACUCCUACGGGAGGCAGCAGUGGGGAAUAUUGCACAAUGGGCGGAAGCCUGAUGCAGCAACGCCGCGUGCGGGAUGACGGCCUUCGGGUUGUAAACCGCUUUCGCCUGUGACGAAGCGUGAGUGACGGUAAUGGGUAAAGAAGCACCGGCUAACUACGUGCCAGCAGCCGCGGUGAUACGUAGGGUGCGAGCGUUGUCCGGAUUUAUUGGGCGUAAAGGGCUCGUAGGUGGUUGAUCGCGUCGGAAGUGUAAUCUUGGGGCUUAACCCUGAGCGUGCUUUCGAUACGGGUUGACUUGAGGAAGGUAGGGGAGAAUGGAAUUCCUGGUGGAGCGGUGGAAUGCGCAGAUAUCAGGAGGAACACCAGUGGCGAAGGCGGUUCUCUGGGCCUUUCCUGACGCUGAGGAGCGAAAGCGUGGGGAGCGAACAGGCUUAGAUACCCUGGUAGUCCACGCUGUAAACGGUGGGUACUAGGUGUGGGGUCCAUUCCACGGGUUCCGUGCCGUAGCUAACGCUUUAAGUACCCCGCCUGGGGAGUACGGCCGCAAGGCUAAAACUCAAAGGAACUGACGGGGCCCCGCACAAGCGGCGGAGCAUGCGGAUUAAUUCGAUGCAACGCGUAGAACCUUACCUGGGUUUGACAUGGAUCGGGAGUGCUCAGAGAUGGGUGUGCCUCUUUUGGGGUCGGUUCACAGGUGGUGCAUGGCUGUCGUCAGCUCGUGUCGUGAGAUGUUGGGUUAAGUCCCGCAACGAGCGCAACCCUUGUUCACUGUUGCCAGCACGUUAUGGUGGGGACUCAGUGGAGACCGCCGGGGUCAACUCGGAGGAAGGUGGGGAUGACGUCAAGUCAUCAUGCCCCUUAUGUCCAGGGCUUCACGCAUGCUACAAUGGCUGGUACAGAGAGUGGCGAGCCUGUGAGGGUGAGCGAAUCUCGGAAAGCCGGUCUCAGUUCGGAUUGGGGUCUGCAACUCGACCUCAUGAAGUCGGAGUCGCUAGUAAUCGCAGAUCAGCAACGCUGCGGUGAAUACGUUCCCGGGGCU
rnacentral:rRNA from 1 species